rnacentral:ncRNA from 1 species
UUCUUCGGGGUAGGGUGCAAGUCCCAACCGGCGGUAUAGUCCGCGACCUGUUCAGGCAAGUCCUGAAUGGCUGAUUUGGUGUAAUUCCAAAACCGACAGUAAAGUCUGGAUGAGAGAAGA